rnacentral:rRNA from 1 species
ACGGGGGGUGCGAGCGUUGUCCGGAAUCACUGGGCGUAAAGGGCGCGUAGGUGGUCUUGUAAGUCUGUGGUGAAAGCCCGGGGCUCAACCCCGGGUCUGCCAUGGAUACUGCGAGACUUGAGUACUGUAGAGGCUGGUAGAAUGCCGGGUGUAGCGGUGGAAUGCGUAGAGAUCCGGCAGAAGACCGGUGGCGAAGGCGGCCAGCUGGGCAGUAACUGACACUGAGGCGCGACAGCGUGGGGAGCAAACAGGA